UACGUAGGGUGCAAGCGUUAUCCGGAAUUAUUGGGCGUAAAGAGCUUGUAGGCGGUCUGUCGCGUCUGCCGUGAAAUUUCGGGGCUCAACCCCGAACUUGCGGUGGGUACGGGCAGACUAGAGUGUGGUAGGGGAGACUGGAAUUCCUGGUGUAGCGGUGAAAUGCGCAGAUAUCAGGAGGAACACCGAUGGCGAAGGCAGGUCUCUGGGCCACUACUGACGCUGAGAAGCGAAAGCAUGGGGAGCGAACAGG
rnacentral:rRNA from 1 species